rnacentral:rRNA from 1 species
UUGGAGGGCAAGUCUGGUGCCAGCAGCCGCGGUAAUUCCAGCUCCAAUAGCGUAUAUUAAAGUUGCUGCAGUUAAAAAGCUCGUAGUUGAAUUUCGGGACCAAUAUGUUGGUCGUGCCUCGGUACGUACUGGCAUUGUUGGUUUCUCCCUUCUGAAGAACCAUGAUGUCAUUUAUUUGGUGUCAUGGGGAAUCAGGACUGUUACUUUGAAAAAAUUAGAGUGUUUAAAGCAGGCUCACGCUUGAAUACAUUAGCAUGGAAUAAUGAAAUAGGACGUUUGAUUCUAUUUUGUUGGUUUCUAGGAUCGACGUAAUGAUUAAUAGGGAUAGUUGGGGGCAUUAGUAUUCAAUUGUCAGAGGUGAAAUUCUUGGAUUUAUUGAAGACUAACUACUGCGAAAGCAUUUGCCAAGGAUGUUUUCAUUAAUCAAGAACGAAAGUUAGGGGAUCGAAGACGAUCAGAUACCGUCGUAGUCUUAACCAUAAACUAUGCCGACUAGGGAUCGGAUGAUGUUAAUUUUUUAAUGACUCAUUCGGCACCUUACGGGAAAC